rnacentral:rRNA from 1 species
GUGAGUAACACGUAUACAACCUGCCGUCUACUCUUGGCCAGCCUUCUGAAAGGAAGAUUAAUCCAGGAUGGGAUCAUGAGUUCACAUGUCCGCAUGAUUAAAGGUAUUUUCCGGUAGACGAUGGGGAUGCGUUCCAUUAGAUAGUAGGCGGGGUAACGGCCCACCUAGUCAACGAUGGAUAGGGGUUCUGAGAGGAAGGUCCCCCACAUUGGAACUGAGACACGGUCCAAACUCCUACGGGAGGCAGCAGUGAGGAAUAUUGGUCAAUGGGCGAUGGCCUGAACCAGCCAAGUAGCGUGAAGGAUGACUGCCCUAUGGGUUGUAAACUUCUUUUAUAAAGGAAUAAAGUCGGGUAUGCAUACCCGUUUGCAUGUACUUUAUGAAUAAGGAUCGGCUAACUCCGUGCCAGCAGCCGCGGUAAUACGGAGGAUCCGAGCGUUAUCCGGAUUUAUUGGGUUUAAAGGGAGCGUAGAUGGAUGUUUAAGUCAGUUGUGAAAGUUUGCGGCUCAACCGUAAAAUUGCAGUUGAUACUGGAUGUCUUGAGUGCAGUUGAGGCAGGCGGAAUUCGUGGUGUAGCGGUGAAAUGCUUAGAUAUCACGAAGACUCCGAUUGCGAAGGCAGCCUGCUAAGCUGCAACUGACAU